CCCGUGAACAGCAGCUUCCGGGCUGCUCUCCGGAGGCCAGAACGCUGAGCCUGGGGAAAGUCCGGUUCGUCUCGGCCGUGUCCAGACUGUCAGGUUUCAGAGGUGUUGUUUACGCUCAGUGGUUUCGUCUCCCUGGAAUGUAACCGUGAGAUAACAACUACUGAAUAACCAAGCCACGUUCUGCAACCCUGUUUACAGAAGGGUGUCCUUUCUCCACCGAUCUGGGCAGCCACCCCUCUGUGGGUCACGUUCUUUAAGACUGGAUCCCACAAGCAACAGAGACGAGUCAAGGGCUCUACCCAGGCCGCUGGGCCCAAGAGCGGAUGGGGCCAACUGCCAGCCCGAAGAUGGGAGGCCGCUGCUGUGCUCCAGGGAGCACGGAGGCAGCCAGGGUGAGAAGGGCAGGAAGGUCUGCUCCCAGUGAAGCCCUGCUGGCCUUCCCUGUGAGCACCGCUGUGCUGGGGCAGGGCCCGGACCGGGGUGGGGAGUCCUGCAGCGAGAUGGAGGUGGGGCUGGGAGACCCUGGGGGGCUCCUGCCCAAGUCCUCCUUCACUUCCUGGAUUCCAGGAAGGCUCCCAGGGGGGCAGUGGGCAAGCCCCGAACGGGGUGUGCCCAUCCUGUGGCUCCGGCCGGCCCUUCCGGUGUGGCGGCCAGCCCCACGCACGGCCAGCCAGAGGCCCUGGGAGCGUCUGGGAGCGGCAGCCAAGGGCUGGCAGCCAGGAAGGCCCUGCAGCCUCGCAGAGCAGAGGAGCCUAUUGACAAGUCCUUGAAACAGGCAGAGUGACAUUCCUCCAGGAGCUCAGCUGCCUCGAUGCUGAUACUUUGCUGAGGGCAAAAAGGCAAACUUAGCCCGACCCCCAGGACCCUGCAAGUCUACUUUAUCAUAUACAAAUUCCUUUGGAAACUUCCUUUAUCUCUACUCCCCCCUCCCCAAUGACAAGAUGCGUGUUGGCAACCAUCCCCCAAGCAUAUGACCCACUGAUACACAUCUGAAGGGUCUCAGGACCGAG